rnacentral:rRNA from 1 species
UACGGAGGGAGCUAGCGUUGUUCGGAAAUACUGGGCGUAAAGCGCACGUAGGCGGCGCAGCAAGUCAGGGGUGAAAUCCCGGGGCUCAACCCCGGAACUGCCUUCGAUACUGGAAAGCUCGAGUCCGGGAGAGGUGAGUGGAACUGCGAGUGUAGAGGUGAAAUUCGUAGAUAUUCGCAAGAACACCAGUGGCGAAGGCGGCUCACUGGCCCGGUACUGACGCUGAGGUGCGAAAGCGUGGGGAGCAAACAGGG